CUGACGACCGGCGCACGGGUGAGUAACGCGUAUGCAACCUACCCUGUACAGGGGGAUAGCCCGGAGAAAUCCGGAUUAAUACCCCAUAAAGAUAUUUGGAGGCAUCUUCAGAUAUUUAAAGUUUCGACGGUACGGGAUGGGCAUGCGUGACAUUAGCUAGUUGGUAAGGUAACGGCUUACCAAGGCUACGAUGUCUAGGGGUCCUGAGAGGGUGAUCCCCCACACUGGUACUGAGACACGGACCAG
rnacentral:rRNA from 1 species